GGCGGCGUGCCUAAUGCAUGCAAGUCGAACGGGGCAGACCUUCGGGUCUGUCGAGUGGCGGACGGGUGAGGAACACGUACGAGACCUGCCCUUGGAUGGGGAAUAACCCUCCGAAAGGGGGGCUAAUGCCGCAUACGGUCCCAGGCAGCGAGGCCUGGGAGGAAAGCCUUCGGGCGUCCAAGGAGGGGCGUGCGGCCGAUUAGCUAGUUGGUGGGGUAAGAGCCUACCAAGGCGACGAUCGGUAGCUGGUCUGAGAGGAUGGUCAGCCACACUGGGACUGAGAUACGGCCCAGACUCCUACGGGAGGCAGCAGCAGGGAAUCUUGCGCAAUGGGCGAAAGCCUGACGCAGCAACGCCGCGUGGGUGAUGAAGGCCUUCGGGUCGUAAAGCCCUUUUCUGGGGGACGAAGAUCUGACGGUACCCCAGGAAGAAGCCACGGCUAACUACGUGCCAGCAGCCGCGGUAAUACGUA
rnacentral:rRNA from 1 species